CCUGAUCAAUGAUGAUCACUUUUCGAUGGUGACUGUUGGAUGAAACUUACGGAUAUGGGUCUGAGAUCAGUG